GAUGAACGCUGGCGGCGUGCCUAAUACAUGCAAGUCGAGCGAACAGACGAGGAGCUUGCUCCUCUGACGUUAGCGGCGGACGGGUGAGUAACACGUGGAUAACCUACCUAUAAGACUGGGAUAACUUCGGGAAAUCGGAGCUAAUACCGGAUAAUAUAUUGAACCGCAUGGUUCAAUAGUGAAAGACGGUUUUGCUGUCACUUAUAGAUGGAUCCGCGCCGCAUUAGCUAGUUGGUAAGGUAACGGCUUACCAAGGCGACGAUGCGUAGCCGACCUGAGAGGGUGAUCGGCCACACUGGAACUGAGACACGGUCCAGACUCCUACGGGAGGCAGCAGUAGGGAAUCUUCCGCAAUGGGCGAAAGCUUGACGGAGCAACGCCGCGUGAGUGAUGAAGGUCUUCGGAUCGUAAAACUCUGUUAUUAGGGAAGAACAAAUGUGUAAGUAACUAUGCACGUCUUGACGGUACCUAAUCAGAAAGCCACGGCUAACUACGUG
rnacentral:rRNA from 1 species